rnacentral:rRNA from 1 species
GGGAGCUUGCUCCCUGAUCUUAGCGGCGGACGGGUGAGUAACACGUGGGCAACCUGCCCUGCAGACUGGGAUAACUCCGGGAAACCGGAGCUAAUACCGGGUAAUACAUCGCACCGCAUGGUGCAAUGUUGAAAGUUGGCUUUCUGAGCUAACACUGCAGGAUGGGCCCGCGGCGCAUUAGCUAGUUGGUAAGGUAAUGGCUUACCAAGGCGACGAUGCGUAGCCGACCUGAGAGGGUGAUCGGCCACACUGGGACUGAGACACGGCCCAGACUCCUACGGGAGGCAGCAGUAGGGAAUCUUCCGCAAUGGACGAAAGUCUGACGGAGCAACGCCGCGUGAGUGACGAAGGCCUUCGGGUCGUAAAGCUCUGUUGUUAGGGAAGAACAAGUACCGUUCGAAUAGGGCGGUACCUUGACGGUACCUAACCAGAAAGCCACGGCUAACUACGUGCCAGCAGCCGCGGUAAUACGUAGGUGGCAAGCGUUGUCCGGAAUUAUUGGGCGUAAAGCGCGCGCAGGCGGUCUUUUAAGUCUGAUGUGAAAGCCCACGGCUCAACCGUGGAGGGUCAUUGGAAACUGGAGGACUUGAGUGCAGAAGAGGAGAGUGGAAUUCCACGUGUAGCGGUGAAAUGCGUAGAUAUGUGGAGGAACACCAGUGGCGAAGGCGGCUCUCUGGUCUGUAACUGACGCUGAGGCGCGAAAGCGUGGGGAGCAAACAGGA